UACGUAGGGGGCCAGCGUUGUUCGGAAUUACUGGGUGUAAAGGGUUCGUAGGCGGUGUGGCAAGUUGGGAGUGAAAUCUCUGGGCUCGAACCCAGAGACGGCUUCCAAAACUGCCGUGCUUGAGUGUGGGAGAGGCUCGUGGAAUUGCAGGUGUAGCGGUGAAAUGCGUAGAUAUCUGCAGGAACACCCGUGGCGAAAGCGGCGAGCUGGACCACUACUGACGCUGAAGAACGAAAGCUAGGGGAGCAAACAGG
rnacentral:rRNA from 1 species